rnacentral:rRNA from 1 species
GAUGAACGCUGGCGGCGUGCCUAAUACAUGCAAGUCGAGCGAACAGACGAGGAGCUUGCUCCUCUGACGUUAGCGGCGGACGGGUGAGUAACACGUGGAUAACCUACCUAUAAGACUGGGAUAACUUCGGGAAACCGGAGCUAAUACCGGAUAAUAUAUUGAACCGCAUGGUUCAAUAGUGAAAGACGGUUUUGCUGUCACUUAUAGAUGGAUCCGCGCCGCAUUAGCUAGUUGGUAAGGUAACGGCUUACCAAGGCGACGAUGCGUACCCGACCUGAGAGGGUGAUCGGCCACACUUGAACUGAGACACGGUCCAGAGUCCUACGGGAGGCAGCAGUAGGGAAUCUUCCGGAAUGGGCGAAAGCCUGACGGAGCAACGCCGCGUGAGUGAUGAAGGUCUUCGGAUCGUAAAACUCUGUUAUUAGGGAAGAACAAAUGUGUAAGUAACUAUGCACGUCUUGACGGUACCUAAUCAGAAAGCCACGGCUAACUACGUG